ensembl:lncRNA
GGGCUGCCUCGCCGGAGACCCCUACGCGCAGGGGGGGGGGUGGGUGGGGCGCUGUGGACCCCCUGGCGUGUGGGAGGAGCCACGGGCCUCUGAGCUCAGCGACCAACAGGCCCGUGGCUGAGGAACGCAGGGUCAGGCGGCUAGCCGGCCGGACACCGUUUGUGUAGCAGCGCGGCGCAGCACGACAACCAUUUCAGAUAACGUGGAACAUUCCAAAAAGACUAUUCAGCUAAAGUUUAUUCACAAUGGCAUCGUCGGAGAGAAACUACUGGUUCUCUUGAGGGCGCACUGAUGAGGCUGAACUGGGCCUUCAGAGUCGUGAGGGGGGUAGACUGUGUGCUCAGCCCACCAUAAUAAGCACACCAAGAAUGUGAUCACAAGGACUUCCUCCUCUCCAGCAGGAGCACAUGGCCGCGGGGCGAGAGGGAAAACGUGGCCCGGAUCACAGACCUCACUACAGGACACUGCAGAAGCCUGCAGAGAUGACAGAUUUUUUUUUUUUUAUACAGCACUAGCGCCCCCUGAAGUUAAAUUGCUGCACUAGCCUAAGCAUUAAGAGAGCUACGACAAUCCAUCGCAAAUGAGGCUAAAGCCUCUGUUUCAUUUUGAGGUUCAUCACGUUUACUUGGAGUGCAGAAUGACAAGAAUGUAACGAAGCGUAGUCAACCGAGCGUCAAUCAAAAAUCUCCAGCCGGGACUUGCCAGUGGCUGAGCUAAUGCAUCGCCAUUUAAACGGCUUACAGUUGACCGUUUGCUAGUACAAAUAAUCCAGUCUCCAUCGUGGCUGGUAAUGAGGAGGAUGACAACAAGAGCGGGUCUGGACGUUAUCUGACCUGGAUUAAGGCUCCAGCCAAAUCAGGGUUAAGAGGAUUUGAAGUUCAUUGUAGUGCUUCUACUGAUGUAAGAGCCCGCCUCCGUUCUCUGGUGCCGGUCUCCAAUUGGUUGGCCGUUUUUAGUUAUGAAUGGAGCGUCGAGGAGUCCUGGAAGGUGUAUGUGUUUUCGUCCAGCUGAAACACUUAUGGUCCUGGAUAAAACGACAAUCAUGUUAAUCCCUCAUAUAGCGCUUACGAUUGUUAUAAAAUUGUAACAAUAGUUUUUUGCUACUGCAAACCGCCUUUAUCAGAUCAAGUACAGCUUUCUUUAAUUAUUGAUGCUUCUUGUUAUACAUUAUGUCUACACACUUUUCUGAAAUUGUACUCAUACAGGAAUGGUCUUGCAUGGUUCAACUCUCACAAGCUUUAACUUGGAAAUGCCACCACUCAUUACAUAGCAAAAG